AUUGAACGCUGGCGGCAGGCCUAACACAUGCAAGUCGAGCGGAUGAGGAAAGCUUGCUUUUCGAUUCAGCGGCGGACGGGUGAGUAAUGCCUAGGAAUCUGCCUGUUAGUGGGGGAUAACUCGGGGAAACUCGGGCUAAUACCGCAUACGUCCUACGGGAGAAAGUGGGGGAUCUUCGGACCUCACGCUAACAGAUGAGCCUAGGUCGGAUUAGCUAGUAGGUGAGGUAAUGGCUCACCUAGGCGACGAUCCGUAACUGGUCUGAGAGGAUGAUCAGUCACACUGGAACUGAGACACGGUCCAGACUCCUACGGGAGGCAGCAGUGGGGAAUAUUGGACAAUGGGCGAAAGCCUGAUCCAGCCAUGCCGCGUGUGUGAAGAAGGUCUUCGGAUUGUAAAGCACUAUAAGUUGGGAGGAAGGGUAUUCACCUAAUACUUGGGUACUUUGACGUUACCAACAGAAUAAGCACCGGCUAACUCUGUGCCAGCCGCCGCCGUAAGAC
rnacentral:rRNA from 1 species